GCUUCUGCACAGCAAAAGAAACUACCAUCAGAGUGAACAGGCAACCUACAGAAUGAGAGAAAAUUUUUGCAAUCUACUCAUCUGACAAAGGGCUAAUAUCCAGAAUCUACAAAGAACUCAAACAAAUUUAUAAUAGGGAAAAGCUACUUCUCUUCUUCCUCUGACUAUUGUAAUAUCUGGAUAUGAUAUCCAGAACUGCUGCAGCCAGUAUU
rnacentral:lncRNA from 1 species